UGGGGAAUAUUGCACAAUGGGCGCAAGCCUGAUGCAGCCAUGCCGCGUGUAUGAAGAAGGCCUUCGGGUUGUAAAGUACUUUCAGCGGGGAGGAAGGGAGUAAAGUUAAUACCUUUGCUCAUUGACGUUACCCGCAGAAGAAGCACCGGCUAACUCCGUGCCAGCAGCCGCGGUAAUACGGAGGGUGCAAGCGUUAAUCGGAAUUACUGGGCGUAAAGCGCACGCAGGCGGUCUGUCAAGUCGGAUGUGAAAUCCCCGGGCUCAACCUGGGAACUGCAUUCGAAACUGGCAGGCUAGAGUCUUGUAGAGGGGGGUAGAAUUCCAGGUGUAGCGGUGACAUGCGUAGAGAUCUGGAGGAAUACCGGUGGCGAAGGCGGCCCCCUGGACAAAGACUGACGCUCAGGUGCGAAAGCGUGGGGAGCAAACAGG
rnacentral:rRNA from 1 species